GGACCACAGCUCAGUGGUAGUGCAUUUGCUUGGUAUGCAGAAGGUCUUGGGUUCAAUACCCCGCAUCUCCA
rnacentral:tRNA from 1 species